rnacentral:rRNA from 1 species
AUUGCAGGCUGCAACCCGCCUGCAUGAAGUCGGAAUUGCUAGUAAUCGUAGGUCAGCAUACUACGGUGAAUACGUUCCCGGGCCUUGUACACACCCGCCCGUCAAACCAUGAGAGUUGGCAACACCCGAAGUCGGUAGUCUAACCGCAAGGAGGACGCCGCCGAAGGUGGGGUUGAUGAUUAGGGUUAAGUCGUAACAAGGUACC